ACUAUGACAUGCUGGCCGGCCCAGCCAGAGAUUAUAUAAUAGGUCCAGCUAUGCGUGCUUACUAUCAGUAAGUCAUUGCCCUUUCUGAUAGUUCUGACGUUCAGUUGGAAAUCUCUGUUGGGAUCAGAAGAAAUGUCAACUGGGAAGAGAAGGGGACGCUAUGAUGGAAGACGUUGGACAGAAUCCACUGGAUGAUGUGUACCAGACAAUAGAAUUACCAGCAUUAGAAGCCGUAAAACAGAACCUUGACUGCCUGAAUUCAGACCUUGAAAAGGACCUGCAGAAACUGGAUAUGGAGAAUCAGGUUCUCCUUAGAAAGAUUAAAGAGAAAGAAGAAACUAUUUCAAGGAAAAAAGUAAUGCAAUCCUAAGCAGGAAUGUGGUGGAGGUUCAGAAAAAGAUUUCAGGGUUAUUUACAAAUAUUGGCCUUGAAGAAGAAACCACAAAGCAGAUCCUGGAGGAAAUGAAGGCAAGACUACAGAAGUCAACAGAGUCCUGUGCAAAGCAAGA
rnacentral:sRNA from 1 species